ensembl:snRNA U6 U6 spliceosomal RNA
GUGUUCACUUCGGCAGCAUGUAUAUGAAAACUGGAAUGAUGCAAAGAAGAUUAGCAUGGCCCCUGUGCAAGGAUGACAAGCAAAUUCUUGAAGAAAGCGAGAUGCCU